UGUAAUUGAUCUGUCAAAUCGUCUAACUUCUCAAUGUUUACGUUCGACGCUAAAACAACGGUCCGCGAAACCGUGUUUACAACGUUUACCGCGACGACGAAACGAACCAAGAUUGUGUUCGAUACCGAAAUGUUUCCGCGAUUUACAGGUGCGCGAUCGAAUUUUAAUCAUUUGCCGGUCUGCUUCCAUCGAACUGUUCGGAGGAUCGGCCCGACGAAGAACUUUCAGCGCGAAUGUUCAAUUAGGAUGUUUCCAAGUGAGGUUUCAGCAACAUUCGUGCUUUGUUUUCGCCCGCGUCCGGACGGAUGAAUGAUUCUACUUUGAUCGUUCACCGAAUAUGCUGCCUGCGAUGGGAUGUAAAAACCGCCAACUCGUUCUUCGAGUUGGUCCCGAUCGAGGGUGGGGAGGAUACAGCAGAGCACAUCAACAACCUGCCGUUGAGGCUGGGAAGUGUCCGCUCAAAACAGCCCAAAUUAAUUAAUUAUCCUCGGGAAUUAGACCCGAGAAAGUGAAGUGUAUUACUCUCGCUGAUUUAUUCAGGAGAAAAGUGAAUAAAGAAUUCUGUUUGUGUGUUUACAUUUUUUUUGGAAAAGAGUUUCCAAACAGUAAAUGGGUGGUAGUGCCUCGGAUGUUUACAAUCAUUAUGCGUGAUAAUGAAUUGUGUUUUAAAUCAUUACUUCGGUUACUGAGGCGAGGGAUUGGAAAUUAUCGUUUCUAGCGAAUUCGCGUUGUUUCACGGACUUGUAUUCGAGUUUGUAUAUUUCGCGGAGGAAUUUUGGCUAGUGCGCGGUGCUUUUUCUGGUGGAAUUAUACGGAAUUCCGUACCAACGACCACGAUGGCCGCAUAUCUGGAUUUUAUUUCUCGGAAGUCGAUCGAUUCGACAUCUCUUCGGAUUUCACUUCGAUAGUGUUUCUCAACGAGUCUGAUACGGGUCAGCAAAACUUAUUGAUUAAUUGCAUGAAAUCAAUUAAAAUUUGAUAUUCUACGCGACGAUUGCAAUCAAUCGAAUUGAAUUAAAAAGAA